GAUGAAGAACGUAGCGAAAUGCGAUAAGUAAUGUGAAUUGCAGAAUUCCGUGAAUCAUCGAAUCUUUGAACGCACAUUGCGCCCCCUGGCAUUCCGGGGGGCAUGCCUGUCCGAGCGUCAUUUCUGCCCUCAAGCACGGCUUGUGUGUUGGGUGUGGUCCCCCCGGGGACCUGCCCGAAAGGCAGCGGCGACGUCCGUCUGGUCCUCGAGCGUAUGGGGCUCUGUCACUCGCUCGGGAAGGACCUGCGGGGGUUGGUCACCACCAUGUUUUACCACGGUUGACCUCGGAUCAGGUAGGAGUUACCCGCUGAACUUAAGCAUAUCAUAAGCGGAGGA
rnacentral:misc_RNA from 1 species